UGGGUUGAAACCAGAUAUUUGAACUAAUAAUAAUACAAUUAUUUAUACUUAAGAUUCUUGUAAGAUUCUUAGGUCUGUUUUUCUAGACCAGGUUUGAAAAAACUAAUGUCUAAGGAUUGUCUAAGGCGAUGGGAGUCAACCAAUUUGACGGGAACUCGAACUGAGGAGCUUGCAGUGCGCGGAUCGUCGGCCCGUACCCGAAAGUGUGUAAGGUUGUAAGCCAUCGACUAACCAAGGCACGGUGUUCUUACCGGAGUUGGGUUGGUGCUAGGCCAACUCCCAUGAAUUGGCCGGUGUCAAGCCAUCCGAGGUUGAAUAUAGGUUAAAUGGAUUGAAUAAACUACUUAUGUCAACAAUGUUCAUAUUCUUUUUCGGAAGCCCUACUGAAAGAACUCUAGAGUUAAGCGUGCUUGCCCUAGAGUAAUUUGAGGAUGGGAACUCUAGAGUUACGCGUGUUUGCCCUAGAGUAAUUUGAGAAUGGGUGACCCCCUCUUGGAAGUCUUCUAGAGUAUGCGUGAGUGAGGACAAAAGCGCAAUCGAAUGACUCGUGUUAACCAGUGGGGCCAGUCUACGAUCCCGACACGUCUGGCUUUGCGUGGCUUGCAAGCUGGGUGUCACACGCGGAUUGACGAGAGACUCUGUGUCAUUGAGUCUAGAAUGGGCAAACCCCCAAGUGCAGAUAAUCAACCCCCCCUUCCUGUUGACUGGCUAUGUCAAAACAAGGGCAUGGGAUUUGCGAAUUUCAUCUUCUUACAACCAUUCAUUAUUGAGGUUAUUGUAGAGUACAUUUACCUUAUGUUGUCUCAUCGUCAUUCUAACAUUUCAUCAUUCCAAUAAUUGUAAGCGAAAAUAUGCUUCCGUUCGAGGAACGACACCCAAUGGGUCAUGAACACCACCGGCACAUUGAAUUUAUCAACUUGAACAGUAUACAGAUUGUAUGGGUGCAACAUCGGCCCGCAAGUUUGGGAUCAGAUACGUAUGCAAUUCCUUAAGAAAACCGGUUGUACAUUUGAGUUGGAGCCACUGAAGGAGAAGUUCAAGCGGAUUAAAGUAUUGUAUUUUGUUUUACGUGACCUCGUUGUUCUCGAGAUAGGCUUUCGUUGGAAUUCGACCACGUGACUCAUUGAUGCACCUGACGAGGAGAAAGCAUCAUGGUUAACGACACACCCCCGACACAACCAUCUACUGAUGCAGUCAGUCGCCCACUAUGACCACCAUCACGAGAUGUGGGGAUCUGCGAAGAGUUCUGGCUGACGGGUCAUUGCAUCUCCGUCCCGGGGACGGCGUUCAUUCUGUGCCUACGAUCUUUUGUUGUUCACAAACCACGUGUCAUUCUCUUACUUCUGCAUUCCUUCAUUCCAGUCCCGAGUUACGUACGAUAUUUCUUCUUUUCACAGGUUGUUAUCAUCUCUUAAUUCGUUGUACAUGCAUUUCUUCGUUACAAAAUAAUAUUGUGACGCUUUCCUUUACACCGUAGCUCGUGUGCAGUUUCGAGUGGUAUGUCGUAAAAUUACAUGAGACGACGACGGCCUAGAAAGAGCAACACAAUGGAGAUAUUGAACUAUUUGUAUGUAGUUACGAUG